UAGAGACGGUCUCUCCAUGUUGCCCAGGCUGGUCUUGAAUUACUGGGCUCAAAUGAAUCUCCCAACUAAGCUUCCCAAAGUGUUGGGAUUACAGGUGUGAGCCACCAUGCCCACUUUUUAAAAAGUAUGCCCCAAAAUCCAUACAUUGGUGAGGAAGUUGAGAACCUGGAAUCCUCAUAUACAGAAUGUAAAAUGGUACAGCUCUGGAAAACAUUUUAGCAGUUACUCAAAAUGUUUCACAUAGCUACUACAAGGCCUAGCAAUUCAACUCCUAGGUACAUACCUAAGACAACUGAAAGCAUGUGUCCACACAAAAAUUUGAAGAGGAACCGUACACACUUGUUCACAGUAGCAUUAUUCAUAAUAGCCCAAAGUGACAAAAACACAAAUCUUCAUCAAGUGAUGAACAAAAAAGUAUGAACUAUCGUUCAGCCACAUAAGAAAUGAAGUACUCCAAAUUUCAGCAGCAGGCGCCUCUCUCGCCUCCGGAACAGGACUUAUAAAAGGAACUAUGUCUGGAAGGCUGUGGUCCAAGGCUAUUUUUGCCGGCUAUAAGCAGGGUCUUUGGAACUAAAGGGAGCACACAGCUCUUCUUAAAAUUGAAGGUGUUUAUGCCCAAGAUGAAACAGAAUUCUAUUUGGGCAAGAGAUGUGCUUAUGUAUACAAAGCAAAGAACAACACAGUGACUCCUGGUGGCAAACCAAACAAAACCAGAGUAAUCUGGGGAAAGGUAACUCGGGCCCACGGAAACAGUGGCAUGGUUCGUGCCAAAUUCUGAAGCAACCUUCCUGCUAAGGCCAUUGGACACAGAAUCCGAGUGAUGCUGUACCCCUCAAGGAUUUAGAACUAAUGAAAAGUCAAUAAAUAAAUGUGGAUAUGUGCUCUUGUAUUUUUAAGUGGAUUAAAAAACUUACUAUGUUAAAAAAAAAAAAAAAGAAA